rnacentral:rRNA from 1 species
AGGCCUAACACAUGCAAGUCGAGCGGUAGCGGGCCUGACCACUCUCGAGUGGUUCAGGUGCCGACGAGCGGCGGACGGGUGCGUAACACGUAGGAAUCUGCCCGGUAGUGGGGGAUAGCCCGGAGAAAUUCGGAUUAAUACCGCAUACGCCCUAAGGGGGAAAGCAGGGGAUCUUCGGACCUUGCGCUAUCGGAUGAGCCUGCGUCGGAUUAGCUAGUUGGUGGGGUAAAGGCCUACCAAGGCGACGAUCCGUAGCUGGUCUGAGAGGAUGAUCAGCCACACUGGGACUGAGACACGGCCCAGACUCCUACGGGAGGCAGCAGUGGGGAAUAUUGCACAAUGGGCGAAAGCCUGAUGCAGCCAUGCCGCGUGUGUGAAGAAGGCCCUAGGGUUGUAAAGCACUUUCAGUGGGGAGGAAAGGCCAAAAGGUUAAUACCCUUUGGCUGUGACGUUACCCACAGAAGAAGCACCGGCUAACUCCGUGCCAGCAGCCGCGGUAAUACGGAGGGUGCGAGCGUUAAUCGGAAUUACUGGGCGUAAAGCGUGCGUAGGCGGCCAUUUAAGUUGGAUGUGAAAGCCCCGGGCUCAACCUGGGAACUGCAUCCAAAACUGGGUGGCUUGAGUGCGAGAGAGGAGUGUGGAAUUUCCUGUGUAGCGGUGAAAUGCGUAGAUAUAGGAAGGAACACCAGUGGCGAAGGCGACACUCUGGCUUGACACUGACGCUGAGGUACGAAAGCGUGGGGAGCAAACAGGAUUAGAUACCCUGGUAGUCCACGCCGUAAACGAUGUCUACUAGUUGUCGGUGGUCUUGUACUGCUGGUAACGCAGCUAACGCGAUAAGUAGACCGCCUGGGGAGUACGGCCGC